AGUUGGUUGUUGUGCUGGCCACAUUACACCCUCGUUAACCGUAGGCCAAAGAAACAGAUGACCUAUACAUCAUCUGCCCACAAGGUCUGAAAGGGAACUUUUUAAAUUUUAUUAGCAAGUGAACGUCCCUCGCAUAUUGUUCUACCAAACUUUCUGUUUCAAUUAAAACGUUGGCCUUGAAUGACUUUCUCAUAGAUUUCAAUAGAAACCCUCGCACUGCUUCUCAAGAAUAGAAAUAUGAAAUAUAGUGAUCUAUUCAAUGAACUUGUGAAGUGACAAAUACACGGUUUGGAAUUACCAGAAACUUAAGAUUUGUUUAGUGCCUAGCCGUGUUCUCAUUCCGACUCAAUUAUUGACACGUCAUCAUUUCAACCAGGUCGAAUCAGUAUGUCAGUGUGAGCUGUUUACUAAGUGUCUUAAAACAGGAGGCCGCUAUUUAUUCCAAUCAUGAUAUAUGAUGCCAAAACUGUUUUUGAAAUGCAAUAUUGAAAAUCAAGACACAACACAGUUAAUAGUUAUAAUUGCAUCUAUAAUUAAAUAAGAUUUUAUUCUUACUGUCACCAUAUAUAACCUUCUAUAAUAAUCUGUGAAAGGAAAAUAUCUGGUCAAGAAAGUACAUUCAACAAGUACAGUGACAUUUACUCCAUGUUCAAUGUUCAAAUGGAUUUCAUUCAUGAAACAUUAGUAGGGAAAAAAAAAAAAUUUCACCUCUCCAUUAAUGUUAAAGGAGUUUCUUCUAAAUAGUUUUAUCAAGUUUAUUACAUCUUACUUUUUUCCCUGCCUUAAAACUUAAGAUGUUUCAAUAUUGCUUUCAGUUUGAGAGAAAUGUUGCUAGUCCUGUACAUCAGCAAGAUAUAUAUAAAAAUACAACAACAGAAAAAAUAAUAAGCGUAUAAGAAAUAGUUUUUGACUCAAAAUAUCACACUGAAAAAUGAAUAGAAGAGACACCAGAACUGCAUUAUACAUUACAGCCAGCCAUCAGUGUUUUCUUAGAGUCAUCACUUGGACAGAUUUUGGUUUGGAAUUCUUUUAUUUCAACAUCAGCCUUUAAGAACUAUUUAAUGCACCUUAAUGGCAUAGCUCUGGGCAGAACUGAAUGUCAAGGGUUUGAAUCCAGGAGCAAACCAGAAUUGUUACCUAUGAAGUACAUUGUAACUUGAAAGUUGUAAACAGUUGUAAAUAGUUCAUAUACAAUAAGUAAAUUGUUGGCUUUGUUUGUGAUUUAAACAUUAGGCUUUGUUAAAAUUAGGCUUUGUUUUGUAAUGUAAACAUUGGUUACUGCAGUAACAUGUAAAACUUUUGACAAGUUACAGAUCUAGUGUGUAGUCAAGAUUGAGGUGGUUUGUUUAGAAGUUAGUAAGAAGAGGCCUAUACCUUUGCACAAUGACAUUUAAUGAACAAAGCUUCUUAAAAUUAUGGCCAUAUAUACAUUCAUCCAAUUAAACAUCUGUAUCCAUCACUCACAGAUCUACAAGCAGAAAUAAACAAGUCAAUAAAAAAGGACAAGAAGCCAAUCAUCAGAAGACUAAAUCAAAAGUUAAAUCCAACUUGUCAACAUUUUCUAAUAUGAUCUAGACAAACAUCUACACAAGAAACAAAAACCUCAAUUGUAUGAUACAGGAUUCAGACAUUAAACAUCAAACAAUUUCUUUCUUUACUCAGGGGAAUAAAAUUGUGUAAGACUGAUUGUGUAGCUAGGUUAAGGAGGGAGAGGGAGGUAAGUGAACAACAGAACAUCAGCUUUUGAAAAAAAUUAUAUAAAAGGUUGCAUUAGCUUCCCUUGAUUGGUUUACAGUCCAAGUCUGUAGGUGUUGUAAGUGAAAUAAAGGUUACUAUAUAAAGUAUUGCAGGAAUGUCUUUUCAGUUUUUCUGCCAUAUAUGUGCAUUCCUUGAAACUAUUGAAUUCAGGUACAUCAGAUAUCAAAUAUGUUUUAAAACAGGUGACAGGCAAAGAGAAAAUAUUCUAACAUAAAAAGAAAUGCAGAGAGAAAAAACAACUCUGCAAAAAAAAAAUAAAAAAAU